AUAUCUGCUAUAUGCAAGGCAGUGUAGUAGGGCUGGAAACAACUCGCCCUUCAGUCUUACAUUAUACUGAGAGGUCAUAGUACAACCUUUUUAAAGAUAAGUCAGUACAAGAUAAUUUGGGGAGGGAGAGAACAGGGUGGGGGCAGGAAGGGAACAGGAUCAGCAAAAACAUCCCUUAGAAGGUAACAUUUGAAUUAAAAAACAGGAAACAGCUGGUCAGAGAUGCUGAGGAGGGUACAGGGCAAAGCCAAUACAUCAUAUAUUUUUCCCCAAACCAACCAAGGAAAACGAUGAAGUCCAGGAGCCCACCUGACGUCACGCUUGGGACGAGGAAGAGGCGGACCACACAUGCGCAUUCCCUCAGUCUCCUAACCUUCCUUGCCAAUCUAAGUAACGGAGCUGAAAAGUCCUGAGCGCCCGAUUUCCUCAAUUCCGGAAAUUAUGACUGGAUCACACCAUUUUGACAUAUAAUUCAGAGGUGAGCACCUCCCCCUUAGUUUCCAGUGCUUUGCACGUGCCCAGAUCACCAACAUAGAGGUACCCACAUGGGAGAUGGCAGAGAUCUGCUUUAGGAGGAAACAUCUUGAAUUCUCUACCACAUAGUUGGGAGCAGUCUCCUUCCAUUCCAUGGAAACAGAAGUCUUUAAAACUAACAGACUAGGAAACAAAGUAGAUGCCCAUCAACUGGAGAAUGGCUAAACAAAUAGUGGUAUCUGAAUGGAAUGAAUUGUUACUAUGCUGUAAGAAAUGUAUGUGUGGUAAAUAUGGAGAAGCAUGGAAAAAUCUGCAUGAACUGAUGCAGAGUAAA